CACGCAGUAAACGAUGAAUACUAGCUGUAUGCGAUAUACUGUAUGUGGCAAAGCGAAAGCGUUAAGUAUUCCACCUGGGGAGUACNGAUACGCGAGGAACCUUACCCGGGCUUGAAAUGCAUCUGACCGACGAGGAAACUUGUCUUCUAGCAAUAGCAGAUGUGUAGGUGC
rnacentral:rRNA from 1 species